rnacentral:rRNA from 1 species
UACGGAGGGUGCAAGCGUUGUCCGGAUUCACUGGGCUUAAAGGGCGCGUAGGAGGGCAGGUAAGUCAGUGGUGAAAUCUUCGAGCUUAACUCGGAAACUGCCGUUGAUACUAUCUGUCUUGAAUACCGUGGAGAUGAGCGGAAUAUGUCAUGUAGCGGUGAAAUGCUUAGAUAUGACAUAGAACACCAAUUGCGAAGGCAGCUUACUGCCCGAAUAUUGACACUGAGGCACGAAAGCGUGGGGAGCAAACAGG